AGGUAGUUUAACAAACCUAUUUAAUUUGACAGUACUUAUUUAAUUAGAGGAACUUGUUAUUUAAUCGAUAAUACCCGAUAACUUUUACUUUAAUUUAUAAUCUAUAUACCGCCAUUACAAGAAUUAAUAUAAAUAUAUCUUCUUAAAUACAAAUUAGGUCAAGGUGUAAUAUAUAUUAAAGACAUAAUAAGUUACAUUAAAAUCAAUUUAAGAAUUAAAUUUUAAUAAAAAAUUAAGAAAAAGAAUUUAUUAGUAAUAAAGAAUUAAUAUUUCUCUCUGAAGUUAAAAUAACUAUGU
rnacentral:rRNA from 1 species